rnacentral:tRNA from 1 species
GGUCGGUUAGCUCAGUGGGUUGAGUGUGGCACUGACAAUGCCAAGGUUGUGGGUUCGAUUCCCGCUUGGUCCU